GACGAACGCUGGCGGCGUGCUUAACACAUGCAAGUCGAACGAAGUGGCGAACGGGUGAGUAACGCGUAAUCAACCUGCCCUUCAGAGGGGGACAACAGUUGGAAACGACUGCUAAUACCGCAUACUGAAGGAGGGGAUUGCGUGUGAUUAGCUCGUUGGAGGGGUAACGGCCUCCCAAGGCGAUGAUCAGUAGGCGGUCUGGGAGGAUGGACGGCCAAAUUGGGACUGGGACACGGCCCAGACUCCUAAGGGAGGGAGCAGUGGGGAAGCUUCCGCCAUGGACGAAAGUCUUACGGAGCAACGCCGCGGGAGUGAUGACGGCCUUUGGGGUGUAAAGCUCCGUUAAUCGGGACGCGGUACCGGAAUAGAAAGCCACGGCUAACUACGUGCCAGCCGCCGCGGUAAUUC
rnacentral:rRNA from 1 species